UAUAGAAUUUCAAAAUGAAAUUAUUUGCCCGACAAGAAGGCAUCAUUAGUUAGACUUGUUUCCUCUGUAGCCCGAUUGAAAUUCUCAGUGUUAAGUUUAGGACCCAAACACCAGCUGGGACGUAAGAGCAGGACCGAAUCAACCUUGAAUAAACUGUAUAUAGAAAACAAUUGUUAGUUGAUUAAGUAGACAUUGGAUGUUUGUUAGAAAGGAAUGUUAGUUGUAAGUGACAUGUUAAGAUUUAUACAAUUGUCAAAAACUUUUAGGAAAGAUUCCAGAAUGCUUUUGAUAAAAUUUAUCGAUUGUGGAUUCACAGUGUGAUAAUUAAGUAGGGAUGUUGAAGUCUUGCCAAGUUUUCCUGGUUCCCUUCUCAAACUUUAUCUUCCCAUUUCUAGCCCUGUCUCUCUAUCUUACAGGCAUCUACACCUCAGCAAGUCAGAAACUAAACAUCAUCUGUCUCUCCCUGUCUUCAGAACCCCAACCCUCAUAAUCUCCUUCCAGCUUCCUUAUUUCCCUUACCAGGACUGGCAUUUUCUGGGCUUGGAAUUUCUCGGUCAUCCUCUUUUUUUUUGUUCCUCGUGCUGUUGUCCUCGUCUCCCAACCCCUAAAGCCUAGUAGGUCCAGUGUCAAUGCAUUAACCACUUCUGUUCUGAUUUCCACCACCCAAGUGGAGGCCUUCAUAACCUCUCAGACGUCACGGCCAUGAUGCCAGUUACAUUAUGCCUAGUUAAUCUUCAUUCAGACUGGAAGGACCUGCCCCCAGUUGUUUCUUUCUGAAUAGAUUCUACUCUCCUUCAACACUUCCAAAGUCUCCUGCCCCAAAGAGGCUUAGUUAGUCCUGUGGCUGGAUGUGACUCCAACUUCCUUUUUUGUACCAUCACAUCUUUCAUAUCUUUCUGGCAUCUGCCAUACAUCAUAAGAGGCUUUGACCACUGUCCUCCACUGAAUAGCCCAUUACAGCUAGCACCUAAUAGUUACUCAGGAAAUAAAUACAUGUUUAACAGGCCAGGUCGUAGAGAUUAUUUUUCUUUCUCUGCCUUUUCAUGUGCUGCUUUCAGAACAGAGGGCUGGAUUGGAUAGAUUAGUAUGAUCUAUCCUGGAGAUUCAUUUCUUGCAUUAAGAGCUUAUUUUGUGUGAUAUUAUUUAUAAUCCCUGACUAUGUCAAUUAUAAACUUUUAAAUUAUGUCUUAUAUUUGAAGUUCUUACCUACAUAUCAGAGGAAAAUAUAAUGUUUAUUUCUAGGUGGUAAAACAAUCUUCUGGAUUCUUUUUUCUUUACUUGUAAAUUAUCAUUUAACAAGUCUAUAUUGAAUGCCGAUAAUUUUCUGGAACAAAACAGACUACAUUCCCUUGGUAAAGCCAGACAUUAAACAGAUACUUUCAAGCAACAGCAUGCCAUGCUCAGAUUUAAGUUUGAAAAAUAUUCUAGCUGCAAUGGAUAGCCUAGCAAUUUUCAAAGUUUAGAGAAGUUAUUAAUAUUAGCCCUUUGUAGUACUCCUGAUAAAUGAAUAACACCCUGGACUUUCAAAUAGUGGCACUGGGAAAAAAGUAAGUAGAAUUGAGAGAUGGUGAAGAGAUAAAGUGAGCAGGACUUAACAAUUGCUGGACUAUGGGAUGAGGGAGCGUAGAGUCAAGGAUGGCUCUCAGUCCCUAGGUCUCCAGGUCUAGGAAGAUGGUGUUACCUUUCACUAAGGGAGAGAACUGUAAGAACUGCUGUGAGAGGACCACAGGAGUCCAGUUUUAGCGCUGAAUCUCAGGUGACUGAAAAGCAUCCAAAUAGGAAUGUCAGCAAGGUAAUGGAAUAUAUAGUUCUCAGAGAAGUAACACACUGUACUUGAGAUGUACACAAGUUAAAGGCAAACAUUGUAUAUGAAAAGUGAUCAAAACUACAUGCUUCAAGAAAUUAAACCUUGAAGAACUCAACAGUUAAUGUCAUAUAUAGAAAGGCAAGUCAGUUAAGAGUGUAAAUAGAAACGGGUAAAUACAGAGGAGAAAAACAGUAAGCAUGGACUGUCCUAGAAUUCAGUGGCAGAGCAUACUGCAAGAAAGCUGAUGUGGUCAAUAAUAUCAAAUGCCGCUGAGAUCACAUAAGUACAGAAUCAUGACCUUAAUGGUUUGACAGUUUGGAAGCACCCUGGCAACAAGCCAUUUCAGUGGAAUGGUAGAAAUGGAAACCACGCUGGGUUGAGAAGUGAGUGGAUGUGAAAAUAUGGGGCCUCUGAAUGGAGGUAACCCUUGAAAAAUUCCACUGUGGAGAAGAAAGGAGAGAGAGAGGGCUGGAAUUUGGAAUGAAAGGAGAUAUUUGGGAUUAUUUUAGUAAGAAAACAGAGGUGUCAUGACCUCAGUGUAACCCUAUUAGCUGCAAAAAAUUCUUCAUGGGCUUGAGAUGGAGUUAGCCAUAUUCAUUAUUGAAAACUAUGUUCUGCACUUAUACAUUGUUGGUUGGAGUGUAAAUUAGUUCAACCGCUGUGGAAGACAGGGUGGGUGUUUCCUCAAAAACCUAAAGACAGAAAUACCAUUUGACCCAGCAAUCCCAUAACUGGGUAUGUACCCAAAGGAAUAUAAAUUGUUCUACUAUAAAAACACAUGCACACACAUGUUCACUGCAACACUAUUUACAAUAGCAAAGACACUGGAUCAGUCUAAAUGCCCAUCAUUGAUAGAAUGGAUAAAGAAAAUGUGGUAGAGGUACACCAUGGAAUACUAUGCAGCCAUAAAAAAGAAUGAGAUCAUGUCCUUUUGCAGGAACUUGGAUACAGCUGGAGGCCAUUAUCCUUAGCAAACUAAUGCAGCAACAGAAAACCAAAUACCACAUGUUCUCAUUUAUAGGUAGGAGUUAAAUGAUGAGAACACAUGGACAUGUAGAAGGGAACAAAAUACACUGGGGGCUAUUGGAGGGUGAAGGGUGAAAGGAGGAAGAGGAUCAGGAAAAAUAAUGAGUACCAGGCUUAAUACAUGGGCGAUGAAAUAAUCUGUAUGACAAGCCUCUCUGACACAGUUUACCUAUGUAACAAACCUGCACAGUUACCCCUGAACUUUAAAAAAAACUAUGUUCUAUCAAAACCUGCCUCUCAUUUAUGUAUUAGGAAUCUUGUGACAACGGAACAGUUGAAAAAUUAAAAUAAAAAUUGCCUGAAAAUGCA
rnacentral:lncRNA from 10 species